ensembl:lncRNA
CCCCAGACUGUGAGGCUUGAUGGACGCGAGCUUAAUGAACCCAGGAUAAAGGAAUUAGCCCAAGCAGAAGGCAGAAAAAGCAUUAAGAAGGUGUGCAACUAAAUUCUCCUCCUCCUGAGUGAACACUGGACUGAAGGAUUCAUUUCCAAUGAAGAGACUAUGGAAAGGGGACAGCUGUAACUUUGCGUUGGAGGAACCUGGCAGGCAUCACUUUAAUCAAGCCAUCAAGGGUUAAUACCGCCAGUAGAUGUCACGAGUGCCAUGAUGUGUGAUGGAAAGAAAACCACUGGAAGAUGUGAUUCACUGAACUCAGAGAGCAAAUCAAGAAGCAAUAUGAUGCAGGAUAAGGAAACGUGAAAACCAGCAGAAAAGAGAGGCAAAGAAAUCCCUGGAAAAAUAGUGAGGAGGGAUCCCAAGAAUGUAGGGUCCUUGCCUCUACUGUCAGCCUUUCCCCAAGAGGAAGAGAGAGGCACAGUCAAAGUCAGUGAAACCAUUGUACUCAUUGAUAAGAUCCCUGAUGGUAGAUGACUGAGAAUGAAUGUUGAGAUAAUACAAAUUUUUGGUUUACACUAAAGAUUGCUGUCUCUCUUUCAAUUAAAAUCUUGGUAAGAUCCUGAGGUUCCCAUAGACAAGACUGAAGGAAACAAUUCUGCCUGAAUGUGACUGAAUCUUCUCUAUAUUCCAUUGUUUAGAUGCCAAUCCAUUUUUCUAUCAAUGAGGGUUGAGUAUCCUUCUGGUAAUACACAGGUUGUCACUUUUUAAGAGGUCAAAGUAAGUUUGCAUCAUGGAAGCAGGGACUGUAUCCUAUACUUUCAGCAGGAAAUGUGGAAUGCUGGGAACCUCUUCCCCCAUAGGGCAGUGGGUGAGAAUGGGGUCUCUAUAGGACAAGGUCAGCAGCUGAGUUUUCCUUCAAGGAAUCCCAUGCUUUUUAUAUGGAAACUAAGUUGAAGUACAUACAACCUUUGUUUUUAUGCUGUGGCAACUGAAGGUUUCUAUAUAUACAUCAUGAUCCUCAGUUCAAUCCUUGGAGAUUGUCUGACUGAGUCAUUCUUCAUUAGGGUUACUCCGAAAACAUGUUCCUACAUUUUUUAAUCUUAAGAUCUAGAAUUUCAGUGAAUUUGUUAAAAAAAUUGUUAUUGAAUUAUUUUGGUAAAUUUUGUUGUAUAAAUUUAUGCUACUCAAUUUAACUAUGGUUAGGCUAUAUGAGUAUUUAGAAUGAUACUAGAAAUGGGAAGUGUCUCAAAAUUUCAUAGACAAGAUCCUGCUUUUUCUUGCUGCCUUGGCACAUCAGGAAAACAUGUCAUGAUUCCAUCAGCAGCAAAUCAAAGCAAGUAGAACAUGUUUCCAUGCCUGUACUGGUGGGGAUAUUCUCUUCUCAGCUAAUUUUGACCCAUGUUCUCUUUCAGAUAAUUUGAACACUGCUGUCAAAAUUAAUCUAUUCAAUUGAUUAAAGUCUUCCACCCUUAAAUUUGUACUGGGAUUUGACAGAUGAAAUAGUGAUAACUGAUGGGAAUUAGUAAAUGAAAAUGUUUUUCUUUACUUUUGUUUAUAAAAGUUACUAAUGAAGCUCAAAGUCAUUUGUAUUUUAUUAGAGGAAAAAUCAUUUUAAGUUUAUUUUCAUAUGACUGGGAAAGAUCUGAAAUAUUUCAGUUGCAUUUUACCUGAAAUAACUGCUUGUUCAGAGAACUUGUAUUUCCCCCUAUAAAAAAGAAAUUCUUGUGUUUAUGUUUUAUGUUCCAAACCUUAACAUCAUAUUUUAAAAAUGUAUGUCUUAGCUGAUAUCUUUUGUGGUUUAUUCUCAAGAAAAUAUUAUAUGUCAUGAGUGA